ACCCGUGCGAAAUCGCAAACAUGGCCGACUUCAUUGUUUUGAUACUGGCAAAGCGUUAAUUGUUUUGCUCGACGAUAUAUUACAAUAUACAUCUUUCGAUUCUAUUCGGCGUUUACGCGACUUACCGGCUUUUCCGACCAGUUGUCGUCGCCGUCCGCUAAUUUCCGGGAUAGUGAGUAAUUUUUAUUAUUUUUUUUUUGAACUAUUCUGUUACUCGCGGUCGUUGCCGCCGCGAAAUAUCCGGAUAAUGUAAACACCGGCAGUAGCUUCAACGGCAUCUUCGUCAAUCGAACCCUCAGUCGGUAAGUGUACCUUUCUCCUUAUCAUUAUUUUAUUUUAUUAACGUUAGCUAUAUUUUUGCGAUUUUUUCAUCUUGAUUGAAUUUUUUUUCCGACCUUCGCAUAGAGCCGUCCUCAAAGUAUUCUAGGUCUUAAGAAGUAAGUUAUGUAACGUUCAGCAACCCGACUAAUCGCACUGAUUAAGGUUUUUUUAAAAAAAUCUAGUUUCUCUGCUUAAGCACUUUAAAUAUUAAAUAUUCCGAUUUAACUAUCGUAUGUGACUUGCAUGCCAGUCAAACGCUGUAUUUAUAAUAAUUCUUACAAUAAAAAUGUUUUUUAGGCAAUAAUUUAUCAAUAACUUAAAUUAAUUUUGUAUGAUUUAAACUCGUCAAAGAAUAUAUCUGGGUAACUAUUUUUCUGACUGAUUAUUCUAUUCAAAAUAAAGUACUUUAACUACUCUCCAUUACAUAGUAAUACAAUACUCUUUGCAAUACCUAUGCUUUUUAAUAUUUUAAAGCAUAGGUAAGUAUUCAAUAAUAUUUCUUUUGUAUGUUUUAUCAAUUAGUUAAAUGUAAUAAUACCUACACAAAUAAACAAUUUUGUCAAGUAUUUGUCAAAUAAUUUACAAAAUAUAUUAAACAUAACUAUUGGUACCUUGUUUCAACAUAACCUUUUAUAUUAUUAAUAUUCUGAACAAAAUAAUUUCAUUUCUCAAUACCCAUCUAAAUAGAUAAAAUACCUUGAUACUUAGUGCAUUUAAACCAUUUAAAAAAUUGUAUGUAUUUUUAUAGAAGUAUACUACUCCAUUUUUAUGUCUUUUGAAAUUUAUAUUUCAUUUAUGUUAAAUUUUUCGCAAAGUAAAUUAAAUUUGAUCAAAAAAAUUAAACAUUUGUAUCUUCUGUGAUAAUAAAAAGACACUAAUGUAGUUAAUGACAUCUGUACUAUUUUUAACUUGGCUCAAACUCUAAUGCAAAUUCUUUUGCCAUAGCUUUUAAUUUAUCAAAUUCAAAUUGUUAAUCAUUAAUUAUGUUGUAAUAAUUGUUCUACAUAAUAUUUAUUAAGUAUAAAAUUAGCUACCUACCUUUUUUGAAAUGAACCUGUCAAACACGUGCUUCGUGUUUACUAAACAAAUCUGUGCCUAAUAUAGGCUGGUAAUAAAUACAUUAUUCUAAAAUAUGCCAAACUAGGCUUUAUUAAUUUAUACAUUUUUAAUGAAAAAAAGAAUACUUAUCUUCACCAAGGUACCUAUUAAAUUUGUAACAUUUAUUGUUUAUUUUUUUUUUAUAAAUACAGAAAAUGGAUAAUCAAGGCCAUCAUCCGGCCGCAGUAAAAAAACGUUCCAUUGAUGACAUCAUAAAUAACAUAACAUCAGAUCUUCAAAGUUAUGAAGGUCGGUAUAUGGUAUUAGGGAAUCCGAGACAAUCGACAGACAUUAUGUGGCAACAAGUCAAUAACUAUGCAAAUCCACAACCACAAACCAAUAUGUAUAAUCCAGAAUCAAUGAAUUUGACCAAUAACAAUCCUUAUAUUUUAAACCCUAAUCAAUAUUCUCCAUAUAUGCAAACUCAGAAUCAAAUGCCAGGGUAUGUCAACUACGACCAUCAAGUGUAUUCUCAUCAUCCUCAUCCCCAUCAUCAACAGCAGCAGCAGCAACAACAUCAACAAACAUCUCAGCAACAACAACAACAACAACAACAAAUUAACUAUACGUAUUACCAACAAUCGCAAUAUAAUUCUCAUCCCAUGCAAUACCAGAGUGCUACAUACGGUCUUUUUGAUCCGCCUUGUAAUGAUGCUCUCAUUGAAAAUCUUGUUCAAAGUUGGAGUCAAACUCAAAAUAAUGGUGGUGUGUUCAGUCCAUUUGGAGAUCAGGCGUUUCAAACUUCGAGAGAAAUGAUUCCUGAACGAGAUAUUAACAUUCACAAUCAUAACACGAUGACCAAUCACACGAAUAUUGCUACACCUGUUAAAAAAGUUAGAAUGGUAGCGGAAGUACGUCCGAUGCGACCCAGUUAUUCUGAUGUUUUGGCUAAAUCACCAGCUGUUGGUGCCGUGAAAAAAACUGCAGCUAGUACUCAAGUCGAAACAUUAUUAGAUUUAAAAACAACCUCUAAAGUAAAAACAUCUAUCAAAAAAAAGAAAAACUCUGCAAAGUUGGGUAAAGGAGAAUCUGGUUUGAAAAGACAAAAUUCUUCUGCAAGCAGUGAAGAGCGUAAUACUCCCACAGUAGAAUUUAAAGAAGAUGAAAAAAAGUUUGAAGCUACAUUUAAUAAUAAUAAUAGUAAUAAUGAAAAAGUUUGGACAUCGUCAGAAGACUUGAACGGAUCAGAAUAUUACGAAGCUGAUGAAAACGCUUUUAGUAAUAUUUUGGCACCAAAGUCUAAAGAAAACAAUAAGAAAGAUAAAGCAAAAACUAAAUCUAAGACUGUUCCAUUGUUAAAAACCUCAGGUAAAAUUACAGUUUGUUUUUUAAUUUUCUUUUAAUGAAUCUGAUAAAAUUGAUUUUUUUUAUUUUUAUUAUUUAAGGUUAUACUUUAAAGUCUCAUAAGGACGAUGCUGAAAAACACAAGACUAAAAAAAAUAUUCAAUCGAGUUGUGCUAUUGGUGCUGUUAAAAAAGAGAAGUUAAAUAAUGACCAUAAAAAGCAUAAUGAAUCAAAUAGUAUGUUAUUAUUUAAAUUUAAAUGAAAUUGUAUUUUGAAGUACAAAAUUAUUUGCAUCUAGAUAUUAGUACAACAAAGUUGUCUGAUGAAGUUGAAAAACCUUCUGUCAAAAUGUCUUCAAAUGUACCCCAGUCACAACAGGCUGCACCUACUAGUAAAAAUCAGGGUUCACGUAGUACUGCUACGUUCACAGCAUUACCAUUCAAAGCAAGAUAUCAACGAGUGACAAAAAAACGACCACGUAGCUCUGCUUUAAACACAAUGUGUAUGUGUUAAAUUUUAAACUGUGUUUAUUU
rnacentral:lncRNA from 1 species